GCUGCACCGGGGCGGACCGCUCGCCCCGUGACUCCUUCCCCUUUCCUCGCGGUCCCCGCCCCCACCGCGCCGCGCCCCGCCCCCACCGCGACCUCUCCGCGCUGCGCUACACGUCCCCGCGACCACGAUCCUUCAGGCGAGGAGACCCGGGAUCAUGGUCCCGCUCUGCUGCCCGUCAGCGGGCGGCUUUUCAGCAGAACCCACGGGGACCCUGUGGAGAAACGGGAUGCGGAAUCUGUGAGCAGGAGCCGCUGCUUUUUCCUUCACUUGCUUUGGCCUCAACCUCGGGGAUUGUUGCGGGAGGAUGAGCGUGAAGAGGAAGAAGCCUGGGCUGGUCAUCAGCUGGCAGAAGUCCUUCUCCCUCCUGGCUCCUUGGAGGAAAGGGAAAGGAGACAGAGACGCGGUUCUGGACAGAGAGGUUGUUCUGACCAAAAUGAAGCUCUUCAGCAACAUCCACAAGAUGCUUCCGACGGCCGACGACUCGGCCUCCACCAUCUCAACUGUGUCCGUUUCGGAGCAGGACGUCUGUGACCCCAGCAAACCCUCUGAAGUACGUUCCCACCGCGUUGACGAGCCGGGCCGGCUUCAGACGGAGUCCGUCUCACGGCACCCGGCCUCGGACUCUCGGCUGACGAGGUCGUACAAGUUUGAGUCGGAGGACUCUGGAGUGGAGCUGCCCAGCGGCGCGGACUCUCCGUCCACCCCGACGAGCUCUGAGCAGAGCUUCACUGUCCACAGCCGAGAGUCCUCCUGCAACCGGAACUCCGACGCCGGCGCCGCCCCCGAUGACCUGGUGCCACUCACGCAGCUCCCGGAGAGCAAACAGGCGCCGGGCUCAGCGGACGAUGGUGCGAGUGCAGCAGCGGGGGCUCUGAAUGACGGUUUCAUACACUCAGAGGAGCUCAGUUCAGCCGUGGGUGCAGAGCGGCGCGCAGGUGAGGAGGUGGACGGGGACCAGAGCGGGGGGUCGGGAGCCAGCCCUGAGAGAGACGAGGACAUGCCGGGACAGCUUGAGGAAACCUGCGCCGAAACCGAGAGGACCUGCUUCCGAGGAGACGGCAGCCACUUCGAGCCGGCGCCUCGGCGGAGCCGUGAGACCAGAGACAGCCUGGAGGACUACAUGGACCAAUGCUGCAGACUGAGUGAGGCACAGCAAGCGAGUUCCAACCCUCCGGGCUCGGGCCUGGAUUACCUGGAUCACAUCUGCCAACUCAUCGCCAGGAUCGGCCACCUGCAGGAGAACAACCUCCAGCUGCAGCGGCAGAUCUACAGCCUUCAGAAGGACAGCAGGACGGCAAAGACCAAAGAGGACUUUUUCCAGCAUCACUGCAGCUGUGGGGCGGCCUGCUUGUCUUUCCAGGACAUUCAGAAGAGACAGUCCAGAAGUGACUUCUCGUCCCCCAGUGGGACCCUCUCUGACCUGUCCACCAUCCCCGAGGUCACCCGGCCUCCACUCUUACCAGCCCGAGGAGGUAAUGUUAUGACGUGUUUUACUUACUGGAAGGAAAUUAUACAGAAAUACUGGAGAAUAUUAUCAUACACAUGCAAAUGAGAAGUGUUGAGCUGGAAAAACCGUCCUACAAGUGUGAGUUUGAUGGUACAAACCAUGAAUAUUUAGAGAGGGUUGGUUGGUCUAGUAGAUGUGUAAUAAUGCACGUUCCCCCCUCACUUACCUUUGUUAGACUGCAGAUCCCAAGAUGUUGCUUUGGUGGGUUCAUCGUGAUCACAUCUGAUCAGAAUUGAUGGAACCAACGAGCAGCAGCAGGAAAUGCAGGGAUGAAGUUAUUACCAGUAACUUCUCUAUAUGCAACUUACUGUAAUUCAGUAAAGGCACUAGGCUUCGUUCUUUGGUGCACACUGUUUCCCAACCACGAAACAGUCGUUUUCUCUGGAGGUCACUGAAUCCACCCUAAACAAACACACGUGCACGACUGCAUAUUAAUGUUUUCCUGACGUGUUCCUCCAUUGGAUCAGUUACUCCAGGUAUGCUAUUGGAAGGCUCUCGUAGGGCUUAGGUUUCCUGCUAUCAUUAUUGUUUUCGUGGCAGGUCACGGUGGCUGACCGCUGGGUGGUCCUAAGGGGAAAAUUAAAUUAUGACUCAAGUGGGACACGGGGCGGAAUUCCCGGCAUCCCGCUCAGAGUCCACAGGAACAUAUGAUGUCCCGUGGACUCUGGAAUGCCUUCGUUCUUCCUCUCAAAGUCAGGAAACUGGAUCUGGAGAAGAGGUUAAGAAAUCAGGACGGGGUGGGGGGGGCAGAUUAGGUACAAUAAGGGUUAAAUAGCUCUCGCUGGGCCACGGUGAAGUAGAACCAUACAGGGUUAAUUUAGUUCCCAACGGAUAAUACGUGGCGGUUCCUGGUAGAGCCUCUUCUGAAGGUUGCAUCUCAGUUCUCCAUGGACUUGGAGGAAGGCUUACAUUGAUGUGGGAUGUGGCAUUCGCUGACAAACAGGAAGAGGACAUAUAGUACCUUCCUUUCAACAACGCAAAGUGCUGCACAUCAGUGGUCCCCCCCCACCCGGGUCCCGGUGCCGUGGGCACCAAGCCGCACAGGAAGAAUAAAUAACCUUUUUUUCUCCAAAUGACCCAAUUCUCUUCCCAAUUACAAGAACGUGUCCCUUUUGUCACGUGUCAACUGGUUUCCCGACGCCUGCGUGUUUGUGCUGUGGUCCUUGCAGAGCGCCACAGUAUUUGGCGUUAUUCCCUUAGUGAGCUGGAACCACGUCUGUGUGGAGGAAACCUUCUGCUGUCGGGGGAUGUGAAACCUUGUCUUAGAGCACUAAUCUAAGCAGACAGCUCUGACUGGUACUACGAUGGAUCUGUAUCCACUCGCAUCGCCUGCUUUCAAAGAGUUGGAGAUAGAAUAGUGAUGCAUUACAUGCUGUGAACUUGGCCACUUUCGAUGGCUGCUGGUCCCCCACACACUGGGGUCCAACAGCGAUGGACGAUGUUUCAGACAUGAGCGGUGCGGGUUUGACACCCGUCCAACUGUGGAGGACGGGCUUGUACCGGAGGAGUUACACCGAGGGGGAAGAGCCCUUCCUCAGCCACAGCACCGAGGCGCUCUCCAUCCCCCAGCGAAGGGUGAGUCACAUCUCCACACCGGGCUGACUGCACAAAGCACAUUACGCAUUCUCUUGGUAUCUCUUACGGAGGGAAGUUUCCAUCUGAAGUCCCAUGAGGCCAACUGGAGUGCAUGAGUAGAAAAUGGAAUGAAAAAGGUGUCACGGAGACCUGUGGGGCUCCACAAGUCACACAGUUUGUUAUAACUGUCUCUGUCUUGUGUUCAGCUCAGCGAAAACUGCACAUGGGGACGAGUCAAAGACCUGGUGAGGAAGACUAAGGUGAAGAACCAAAGCCGGCUGCGCCUGAAUUCUGCCUCCCUGGAGAGGUCCUGCCCACAGCUCUACAUGUGAGAAACACUCGCGGACUGUAAAUGAAUAGAUAUGAAUAGACUGUUUGUGCUGUUCUCUGAAUAGAAGAAACGUGGGCAGAUGUUAACUUGCUUGUAACGUCAUGAUCGCGAGGGGAAACUUGUUAUAAUGCCGCAGCAGAUUGCUUUGGUUUUUCAUUAAUGACUAAAUUGAGAUUUACAGUAAAUAUGUUAGCUGCUACUGAAGGAAAUACUGCUGUUAAAAAGCAUCUUAUUUCUUUAAAGUGUUUGCACAAAUGAAAGUACUACUUUUUAAAAUAAUCAUGUCAUUUUACUUAUAACAAUUAAGAAAAUGAUGCAAUUAAUUGUGAUUGUUGCCACGUUAAAAGAUAAGAAAAGUAGAAGCAUCGUGAACACUGAAAAUCCUUAAAUCAGUUUUCCUAUCAAAGAUAACACCUUGUUUUGGGAGGGAUGUCGAAACAUACUAGAUGGAAAUGGCGCUGCCUCUACUUCCUGGCUUUCUUGAGAAGAAGAAGGAAUGACGGAAAUGCAGAAUGGAAUGAGAAAGGAGUGUCGGAUGGUGGUUCUCGGGAGGUGGAGCAGUAUCUGUUGGGAGGUGUUGGCCCUGGAUCCUGACCGGGGGCUGGCAUGGGCCCAGCAGAACAUGAGGGGGGUUGGAGAGUCACGGUAUGCCUCGAGGAGGGGGAGGAUUGCCCCCCGGCCCGUCCAGGACUCGUUAGAAGCAACCGCACCCUCCUGCCGAGACACAUGCAACGGGCGCCUGCAGCGCUGACGAGCCGCAAUGAGGGGAAAUAUGUGUCUGUCACAGCCGCAGGCCGAGCUGCUGGGACAGAAACACCGUAAACACGAUAAUAACGGUCUCCUCUUCUUUACAGGCCUGACGUGGAACCAUUAGAACCCGCUUGCAGAGACAGGAGCUCCAUGAUAGCCUUGGGCCACCACAGCAAACUGGACGUCCCUUGGUUACAAUAAACAUGGAGGAGGGACACGCAUCCGUUCUGGGAGAAUAACCACCACGCACCAUCCAGCAAUCCUCAAGCCAUUAUUUUAUUAAAGGCUGUUGAAGUGGUCCGAUAAAGGAUGGGCUCCGGGAGAGAAGGGACACAUUCUGGGGCUUUACAAUCCACUACAUGAUGCGGCUGCUGCAAUGCUGCCAUUUUUGGGCUAAAAAAAUAAAGAAAAAUUGACUUGAUACACAACUAAGAUUACUCGGAAUGUGCCUCAGUCUGAACACACUUUCAGAAGCUUGUAAACGUUAAAGUUGGCUGGACGUUUUCUUUGGAAUGCACAGUGCAAAAUAUACUAAAUCAAUAUUGUAAAGUUGAUAUUCUCGCUAUCAAAAGAACAUUUCUUGAUCGCUAAGUCACACCCUCAUCUUUGCACAAUGGAUGGAGAACAAACGAUAAUAACACAGAUAACAAUUGUCAUUUGUUUAUGUCAGAGUAACAAACAGCUGGUUGGUUGAUUGGGACAUUGUGAUGCAUUUCAUUUCCAACGUCACACUUGUACCAUUAUGUGGUUUGGAUGUCAGGACUCUACUGCAUGCUAUUGUACUCCAAAACGGGAAAACUGUAAGUAAACUAUUGCAUUUAAGUAGAAUUUUGUAAGACAAUAACUUUUUCUAAUAAGUUAUAUCUGAGGUUUAUCUGCAUGGCGUCAGACAACUAUAUAUGUAUUUUAUGUUUCUGUAUGGAUAUUGCAUUCAUAUUCAAAUGUAUUUUUUAAUAAAAAUUCAAUCCAAAG
ensembl:lncRNA